GAUGAACGCUGGCGGCGUGCCUAAUACAUGCAAGUCGAGCGAACAGAUAAGGAGCUUGCUCCUUUGACGUUAGCGGCGGACGGGUGAGUAACACGUGGAUAACCUACCUAUAAGACUGGGAUAACUCCGGGAAACCGGGGCUAAUGCCGGAUAACAUUUUGAACCGCAUGGUUCUAAAGUGAAAGAUGGUCUUGCUAUCACUUAUAGAUGGACCCGCGCCGUAUUAGCUAGUUGGUAAGGUAACGGCUUACCAAGGCAACGAUCCGUAGCCGACCUGAGAGGGUGAUCGGCCACACUGGAACUGAGACACGGUCCAGACUCCUACGGGAGGCAGCAGUAGGGAAUCUUCCGCAAUGGGCGAAAGCCUGACGGAGCAACGCCGCGUGAGUGAUGAAGGUCUUCGGAUCGUAAAACUCUGUUAUUAGGGAAGAACAAAUGUGUAAGUAACUGUGCACGUCUUGACGGUACCUAAUCAGAAAGCCACGGCUAACUACGUG
rnacentral:rRNA from 1 species